rnacentral:tRNA from 1 species
AGGGAUGUAGCUCAGUGAUAGAGUACUUGUGUAGCAUGCAAGAGGUCCUGGGUUAGAUCCCCAGGACUUUA